CUUGUCCCGUAAACAUUCCAAAAUAUUUUUUGUUUGUACUUCAAUGUGAAUUUUGUAGGAAUAUUGACAGCUUUCCUAUAAAAUAUACAAUCGAUUGCGUUGGAUUCCAGAAGCUUGUAACCCGGGAACAUUUUCUGAAAUCCAUUAGCAGUCGCUAGUACCUGUUUCCGUGAAGAAGUUGGACUAAAAUCCAUAUCAAGAUGUGCUGCGGUCCUUGCGGUGGUUACUAUGGCGGAUGCUAUGGUUGCUACGGCGGUUCUUACGGAUGCGGUGGCUGCUACGGUUCUUACGGAUGCGGUGGUUGCUACGGCUGUGGAUCCUGCUAUGGUGGCUGUGGUUAUUGCUAAAAUCUUCUUCAGAACGAAAUCUAGGUACUAAACAUCUAGUACAACAAGCAACAACUCAAUGUAAAUUAUUUUAAAAUUUGUACAAUUAAAUGGGCUAUUUAUAGCAAUUAAAAUUUGAAA